ensembl:lncRNA
CCGCCCGCACUUUCCCGGCGGAAAGUGGCUCGCCCGCGAGGGCGUGUGCGCAGGGGCGGGGCGGGGCGGGCCGGGAGCUGACCAGAGAGGGCGGCGUGGGGUCUCCUCCCCGCGGCGCGCCCGUCCUCCUCCUCCUCCUCCUCCUCCUCCUCGGGGCCUCGCUUCCUUCUCCUCCUCCGCACGCUCCGCCGCCCCUGUCCAGCCCCUCUGCCCCAAUGUGGGGGCAAGUGCUCACGGAGAGGCGCCGGGGCUCGGAACCCGGCCGGGCUCGGGCAAGCAGUUGCGAAACGCGCCGCGCCGGGGCAGGGGGCGGGCGGAGGGGCGCCGGGGGCGGAGGCCGCGCAGCCGGCGGCGGACGGCGCGAGCCCGGCGGCAGCUGUCAGCGGGCGCGGGGCGCGGGCGCGCCAGGGCUCGGCCGAGCGUGCGCGCCGGGGCCGGCUUCCCUCCCGCGGGCGCCGCGGCGGCCUCGCGCUCCCCACGAGCCCCGCGCCGCUGCGAGCCCGCGCGGCCAGGAAAAGCGCGCCCGGCUCGGGCGAAGCCUCGUCGGCGCCCCCGGCCUCCGCCUCCUCCGCGGCGCCGCCCCCGCGCCCGCGCCGAGCCCCCUCCUCGCUGGUCCCACACCUCCCUCUAGCGACUCCAGCCGCGUCCCUUCGCGGCUCUCCCGCCUCCCUCCCCCGCGCCCGGGUCUCACUGGCGCACACCCGUCUAGGGAGAGACCAGGUGGGUGGUAGAGGAUGUGCGGGGGAGCAGCCCGGAGAGGAUUUAGGUGAAUGAGGCGAGACGUCCAGAUCACCCAGUUCCACCCGCAAGGAGGCUCCUGCCCCAAUCGGGGGCUGACUUGGCGGGAAGAUGCGGGGAGCUCGUGCACUGCCCGGGGCUGCCGCCGGGGGUCGCGGAGGCCCCCGGCCCUGCUGCGGGCGCCGGGCACCAGGGACCACUCCACGCCGGCUCCCGCGCCGCCGUGGCCGGGUGGCAGGGCGAGGGGCGCAGCCCCUUCCCCUCGGGGCCGCUCGGCGUCGGCACAGCGGAGGCCGGAUGUGGGCACCUGCCUGCUUCCAGAGAGGGGUCCCAGCCGCGCCCGCCCCGCCCGGCGCGGGUCUCUCCCUCCCUCGCAGCCCCUUUAGGAGGGGCGACGCCCGCCGUGCGCCACGUUUCACUUCUGAUAUGACUGCCACCCGCUCUCCACCGCCCCCGCCGUGCACCGGGCUGGCUUGCCCAGACUCUGGCAAUCCCCAAAGGCCUCUGCCGCGGCCCAGAGAGCUAAGAGCAUCAAAGCAAAAACGCCGCCGCUCAGUCACACCUUCCCUUCCGAGCAACUCCCCUGCAACCUCGAGCAAUGGAUAAAGAAGCGUCUUCAGCCGAUGGGACUCGGUCCUUUGGAUGUCCACAUGAAACAAAGUGAAUCACACCAUACACAGCAUUUGAAAAGAGGAAUGAAGCUUCAAUAUGACUUUCCAUUUCGUUCACUUUAUAUAUGAAGAAAAACGAGGGCCCUCUCAACAUUUGUUCUUGUCAAGAAAAGGAAAAUUGAGGCAUCAUUCAAAAUACACAUGAUUCCAACACUUGAAGCACUUGCUGAAGAACAACAACCAUCUAAACAACCAACCAACUAGCUAAAAACUCUUUGUAAUGACAAGAGAUUUUCACAUAUGAGGUAUAUGGAGCAACUAUUCGAAUUCAAAACUGAUUCGGCUUGAAUUAUGGCCUAUCAAACAUACAUUGUACAUCUGCCUAAUCAUCAAAGUAAAGAAUGCACUCUCUUAAGAGAAGGGAGCUGAUUCUGCCUCCCUCCCCUCUAACACCCUGCAGGGAAGUUAGGAUGGUAAUGGUUGCAGAGCGAAGAAGAGCGAAAAGAGAAUGCAGAAUAGAGGUCGGCUCUAAUUGUGUGCCCUGCUUAAGUCUGUGCUCUUUCCAUUUACAUCAUUCAAGUCCCACAAGCAGGAAACAGAAACAUGCAGCUGUGAUCCAUGGGCCAGAAAACCAUGACUCCUACUGCUCUAGGAUAGGAGGCCUGGCCCUGGGAGGCUUCGAUGCACAGCUGCACUGUCAAAGUCAGCUCAACUACUUCUCCAUAUUUGGGAUGCUAAAUUUUGCUGCAAAACCCUAAACACCUCCAUAACCAUGUUUUCUGGCAACAGCAAAUUGAGAAGCCUAGAAACGACUUCCUCCUCACUUCUGCCUUCCACGUUUUGCAUAAGUACAUCAUGUUGUCAGCACCUAAUUUGCACUCAGAACCCUAACUGCAAAGGACUCUGCGGAAUUGUAGCUUUCAGGUUGUCAGCCUGUGAAUGAUGCUGUAGCGAGAGGAGGGGAUACCUCCUGAGCAACCCAGUCCUUAGUGUUUGCCCUUUCCUUAAAUCAUGGCGCCUUUUGUACCUCAAGCUUGAAUCUUCACUUGGAAAUGCGAUCCUUCAUUUGGAAAUUACUUUCUUGCCUAAAGGGUUUUAAAUCUUUGUGAAGUUCCCAAGGCGUGGAAAAGAAUAUUGGUCCUGCAGAGAGAACGCAACAAUUAGAGCAGAAGACACGGAUCUUGGCCCAAAGAACAAGGCAUCACACCAUGGGGCCAGCAUGUUACAGCAUGUAUGAUGAGCACAAACCUUUCUGUAGAAAUCAACUGAUGCUGAGGAAAUCAACAGGCACAGGAGCUGACACAUCAGAGUAGCUAAAUACAUAUCUGUUAAGAGAGAGAGACUAACACUCGAAGACUGUAUUUUGAGCGAGUUCAUGAGCAUAAUUCAUACCUUUUUAAAAAAUCCUAAGGGAAAGAAACAGAUGCUCUUGACCCAAUUCUGUACUAAUAGACCCGUAUGUACAGUAUAUAUAAGGUUACAUGAUAAAUUUUCUGUGUUUCUCAUUGUAGAGUGUGGGUUCAGUUAAU